ACCAGUUUCUUUUCACGAAUACCGAGAGAAACCGAGCUGCGUUCUUCGUGUUCUUCGUAAUCAAACGAGGAUUUGAAGGUGUUAUUGGAAUCCGAUGGAGGUGUAUGAAUAGUCAAAACGAAGCUAUCGACGCGUAGAAUCUAUUACUAUCAGUGGUUUCAGUGCAGAAUCGACAGGUUUUUGCUAAUUAAGGAUUUGGACGAGACGUGUACGCUCGAAGACGUCAGAAAGUCGGAGAAUGGUAUUGCAAAGCGAAUAAGGGAUGAAUCGAGUAAGCGAAGCGAUGUGGCGAAUAGAGUAUAGCUAGAGAUGGUCUAGAGAUUACGAGAUGCAUAGAUUGUGAAAGUUGAAAGAUGAGAAUGAGCUGUGAAACUGGAGUCAGAUUUAAGAAAGGCUUAAAGAUGAGAUGAUGGAUUGAGAUUGUGAAUAAGGCUAAUGUUAGGCGAGGAGACAGAGUUGAGGAUCCAGUGGUCGAGGAGUGUUCAGGAAAGUUGAUGAGGUUGGUGCAAGCUAGAGCUGUGUUAUAGGAAUUCAAGUGUAAGUCAUAGCUGGAAUAGUUGACAGUGAUUCUUCUUAUCGAAGAUGAUCUGAUUUGGUAAGAGAUGUUGUGUAAUAAUAGUGGUUGAUUCUAAUUUCAAUGCUGUAACCUGGAUGCGAUCCUGUUGUUUUAGGGGGUUAAAAUGUUCUCUUUCAAAUCACUUAUUAAAGUUUUCAGGUUUUAAA